AUGGGCGCGCUGCUGGAGGAGUUGGACGGCGUGGCGAGCGCGGGACCGCCGGAGGGGGAGGACGACUCGGAGCUGUACUCUGUGGAGCAUGUGCGGACACGAGUCGGAGCCUGCGAGGACGUGCUAGUCCAGCUGGAGCAGAGCAGGGCGGCCUUGGGCUGUCUGCUAGACCAGAGACAGCUAUUGGUGCUUCCGCCGCCAACCGACGCAGAAGGCAGUACCUCAGUCGGCCCAACAGGGGGAGCUCUGGAGCUGCAGUGGCGGAGCAUCCAAAGGCGGACAGAGCAGGAGAUCAGGCGUUGCCAGGAGAUUCAGCGGAGCUGGGCCAGACUGCAGAGCGAGAGCCAAUCUCUGGGGGAGUGGCUGGCGGGGGUCCGAGGGCCACUGGAGACGUGGUGUGGGCUGGCCGACAGCGCUGCAGGGGGGAAGGAGAGCAACAUUCACAGCCACCUCACCCAGCUCCUGGUAAAAACAACUGAAAAAAAACAACGUCUUAACCUGAACACCCCCAAGGGAACAACUGGUGUUGGGAUAAGGAUGUUGUUUUUUUACAUUCACAUUUUACACUUAGGCCAUUUAGCUGACACUUUUAUCCCAAGCGACUUACAAUAA
rnacentral:lncRNA from 1 species